rnacentral:misc_RNA from 1 species
CGCACAUUGCGCCCUCUGGUAUUCCGGGGGGCAUGCCUGUUCGAGCGUCAUUACAACCCUCAAGCUCUGCUUGGUAUUGGGCGACACUAUGGUGCGCCUCAAAAUCAGUGGCGGUGCCAUCUGGCUUCAAGCGUAGUAAAAUAUCCUCGCUACGGAGUCCAGGUGGUGUCUGCCAGCAACCCAUACUUCUUAAGGUUGACCUCGGAUCAGGUAGGGAUACCCGCUGAACUUAA